rnacentral:rRNA from 1 species
UAGAGUUUGAUCCUGGCUCAGGACGAACGCUGGCGGCGUGCUUAACACAUGCAAGUCGAGCGGAAAGGCCCCUUCGGGGGUACUCGAGCGGCGAACGGGUGAGUAACACGUGAGCAACCUGCCCCUGACUCUGGGAUAAGCCCGGGAAACUGGGUCUAAUACCGGAUAUGACCUCAUGACGCAUGUUGUGGGGUGGAAAGCCUUGUGCGGCUAGGGAUGGGCCCGCGGCCUAUCAGCUUGUUGGUGGGGUGAUGGCCUACCAAGGCGACGACGGGUAGCCGGCCUGAGAGGGCGACCGGCCACACUGGGACUGAGACACGGCCCAGACUCCUACGGGAGGCAGCAGUGGGGAAUAUUGGACAAUGGGGGCAACCCUGAUCCAGCCAUGCCGCGUGAGUGAUGAAGGCCUUCGGGUUGUAAAGCUCUUUUGGCGGGGACGAUGAUGACGGUACCCGCAGAAUAAGCCCCGGCUAACUUCGUGCCAGCAGCCGCGGUA